GCAGUAGCCGCGGUAAUACGAAGGGUGCAAGCGUUACUCGGAAUUACCGGGCGUAAAGCGUGCGUAGGUGGUGGUUUAAGUCCGUUGUGAAAGCCCUGGGCUCAACCUGGGAAUUGCAGUGGAUACUGGGUCACUAGAGUGUGGUAGAGGAUAGUGGAAUUUCCGGUGUAGCAGUGAAAUGCGUAGAGAUCGGAAGGAACAUCUGUGGCGAAGGCGACUAUCUGGGCCAACACUGACACUGAGGCACGAAAGCGUGGGGAGCAAACAGGAUUAGAUACCCCAGUAGUCCCUGUCUCUUAUAC
rnacentral:rRNA from 1 species